rnacentral:tRNA from 1 species
GGCGCUAUAGUUCAAUGGUAGAACGGUAGUCUCAUAAUCUAUUGGAGAAAGUUCGAUUCUUUCUAGCGCUA